GACGAACGCUGGCGGCGUGCUUAACACAUGCAAGUCGAACGGUGAACCUCUGCGGAGGGGCUCAGUGGCGAACGGGCGAGUAACUCGUGGGCAACUUGCCCCCGGCUCUGUGAUAACUCCAAGAAAUUGGGGCUAAUACAGGACGUUCACCGCUUCCCGCUUGGGUGGUGGUGGAAAGGGUUUCCGGCUGGGGGUGGGCCCGCGGCCUAUUAGCUUGUUGGUGGGGUAGUGGCCUCCCAAAGCGACGACGGGUGGCCGGCCUGGGAGGGUGACCGGCCACACUGGGCCUGAGACACGGCCCAGACUCCAACGGGGGGCAGCGGUGGGGAAUAUUGCGCAAUGGGCGGAGGCCUGACGCAGCGACGCCGCGUGGGGGAUGACGGCCUUCGGGUUGUAAACCUCUUUCAGCAGGGACGAAGCGCAAGUGACGGUACCUGCAGAAGAAGCACCGGCCAACUACGUG
rnacentral:rRNA from 1 species